rnacentral:rRNA from 1 species
ACUCAAAUGAAUUGACGGGGGCCCGCACAAGCGGUGGAGCAUGUGGUUUAAUUCGACGCAACGCGAAGAACCUUACCUACCCUUGACAUCCUCGGGAUCUGGUAGAGAUACUGGAGUGCCUACGGGAACCGAGAGACAGGUGCUGCAUGGCUGUCGUCAGCUCGUGUCGUGAGAUGUUGGGUUAAGUCCCGUAACGAGCGCAACCCUUAUUCUUAAUUGCCAGUGGGUAAAGCCAGGCACUUUAGGGAGACUGCCGGUGAUAAGCCGGAGGAAGGUGGGGACGACGUCAAGUCAUCAUGGCCCUUACGGGUAGGGCUACACACGUGCUACAAUGGACGGUACAGAGGGCAGCGAAGCCGCGAGGUGGAGCGAAUCUCACGAAAGCCGUUCGUAGUCCGGAUUGGAGUCUGCAACUCGACUCCAUGAAGUUGGAAUCGCUAGUAAUCGCGGAUCAGAACGCCGCGGUGAAUACGUUCUCGGGCCUUGCACACACCGCCCGU